UACAGAGGGUGCGAGCGUUAAUCGGAAUUACUGGGCGUAAAGCGCACGUAGGUGGCGACGUAAGUCGGGUGUGAAAGCCCCGGGCUCAACCUGGGAAUUGCAUUCGAGACUGCAUUGCUGGAGUACGGAAGAGGAAGGCGGAAUUCCCGGUGUAGCGGUGAAAUGCGCAGAUAUCGGGAGGAACACCUAUGGCGAAGGCAGCUCGCUGGGACGUUACUGACGCUGAGGCGCGAAAGCGUGGGGAGCAAACGGG
rnacentral:rRNA from 1 species